UACGUAGGUGGCAAGCGUUGUCCGGAUUUACUGGGCGUAAAGAGCGCGCAGGCGGUCGUUCAAGUCGCGUGUGAAAGCCCCCGGCUCAACUGGGGAGGGUCACGCGAUACUGAUCGACUCGAAGGCAGGAGAGGGUAGUGGAAUUCCCGGUGUAGUGGUGAAAUGCGUAGAUAUCGGGAGGAACACCAGUGGCGAAGGCGACUACCUGGCCUGUUCUUGACGCUGAGGCGCGAAAGCUAGGGGAGCAA
rnacentral:rRNA from 1 species